GCGGGCGUAGCUCAGCGGUAGAGCGUCGGCUUCCCAAGCCGGAUGUCGUCGGUUCGAACCCGAUCGCCCGCUCCA
rnacentral:tRNA from 1 species